rnacentral:lncRNA from 1 species
UUUUUGGGGUGAGUUGAGAGAGGACUCGGCGAGUUGGAGCCUAGACUCGCCGAGUAGGAUCGCAGACCUGGUCGCGGGUCCGCGACUGGACUCGACGAGUCCAGAUAUGGACUCGGCGAGUCGACGCUGUUCAGCAGAAACCCUAACCGUUCAGUUUGGAUCGUAUAUAACGCCUCUUAGGCCGUCAUUUUCAGUCUUUUGGUCGAUUGAGAAGAACCCUAAUCGCUGUGGACGUCUAGAGCAGGAGAGAAAGCUUUUGGAACUUGGAAGAAUUGGUUAGACAAGAAGAAGAAGAAAUUGGUCAAAGGAAUAUCAAGGAGGAUCGAGUCCUGAGGUUUGGGGGACACAGAGAGAACGUUCUCAGGUAAUACUCGGAUCAAUUAUGUUAGUUAAUGUGCCUAUGAACCUAGGGUUUAUGAAAAACCCAUUUAGUGAUUAGAUGGGUUAUUAUGUUAUUACCCAGAUGUUAUACCCACAGUAAAGAGAUGUUUAGACGUCCAGAGGGUCCCAUGGUUGUAUAUCUUGGGACCAUACGUAAUUCAGGAAGCAGUUACUCGUCUGCAUGGCAUGGACUCGCCGAGUUGUUCUUCAGACUCGGCGAGUAGCUUGAAGAUUUACUGGGACUCGCCGAGUUGUUCUUCAGACUCGGCGAGUGGAGUCGGGGUGGCCCCGCGAUUCUUCCAGGAGUAACUCGUCGGGUCGAGGAGGGUACUCGACGAGUAGAUAAGGAAUCUCAGAAAGUUGGAGGACGUCUAGACUCGCCGAGUCGCCAUGGUACUCGCCGAGUCCGGUCGAGUUGACCGUUGACCGUUGACCAGAGUUGACCUAAGUCUGACUUCUUAGGGAUAGUCACACUUAGAAGAGAUAAGUAUUAAUGAGUUAUGUAAUGUUAUAGGGAGGUUGUAGCUCGUCGGUUGUGCACGAGUCAUUUCAGGAGUUGCUAGCUUUCAGCAUAUACGAGGUGAGUCUUCUCACUAUACUGUACCCGGAAGGGUUUGACUGUGUGACCGGAAGGUCGGAUAUGUUAUGUGAUAUGUAUGCUAUAUGUGGUAAGUUAAUUGUUAUAUGUGCUAUGUAUGAUAUGUGGGCCGGAAGGCAAUAUGUUAUGGGCCGGAAGGCGAUUAUGUUAUGGGCCGGAAGGCGUUGUAAUGAGGACCGGAAGGUCAGGGCCUGGAAAGGCGUAUGUGCGUAAGUGUAUAUUGGGGAACUCACUAAGCAUUUAUGCUUACAGUUGUUGUGCAUGUAUUUCAGGUACUAGCGAGGACCGUGGGAAGGCGCCGGCAUGAUCGAUACACACUGAAGAUUGUUUUAUGAUCUUGGGAGUUUGAAUAAUUGUAUUGACCGAAUAAUUAAACUGUUUAUGCCUUGUUUUUAAUGGAAAUAAUUAUGUUUUAAAAAUGAAAAAUUUGUUUGAAAAAUUUGAGUUGUUACAAUUGGUAUCAGAGCCUUGGUUUGAGGGAUUCGGGUGCACCUUCGGGGGUAACUGAACUCAAACCGAGGAUUUGAGGAAACUUUUCAAAUAAAGGCAUAAACUUUUGUAAAUGGUUUUGUGGUAAGCAAGAAAGAAGCAGUGUGUACGAUCAGUCAGCGCCCGAACGGUAAAGAUCCCCAAAAUACCUUACAAUAUUAUAUGAUAUGAAUUGUUAUGCAUGCUAGAAGACUAGGUAUUCAUGAUAGGACUAGAGUGGCCUGAUUUGUGAUGCCUUAGUCUAGGGAAGUUGCCUAUAUGAGAUGCUUUGCUAGUAUGCGGGUAGAUAGAGCGUAUCAGAAGUAGAGUACUCACUAUCUGGAGUUUGGGGAGGAGGACUUGGGAUGAACAUUGAUGCGGUGUGGUCGGUAGUAUUGGGCCCGUACUACCGAGGACACCGGGUCAGUGGGAGGCCCAAGUAAGAAUCCCUGGAUAUCUGGGACUGAGUAGGGUUGCGUGUCGAGUACGAUUAUACUCGGUAGAAUCUCUGAUAGUUUUAUGUUGUAUUUCAGAGAUAUCAUGGUUAGACCGCGGCACGGGGCAAGUACGAGCGGUGUGAGUGACGAGGAUAUUCGUCAGAUGAUCCACGAGGAGGUGGCGGCGGCGAUCCGGGCUGAGAUCCCGGAGAUGUUUGGGUCUAUCAAGACCACCCUGAUGGAGACGUUCGACGAGCGGUACGCCGCAUUGACUGAGGCUGCAACCGCUGCAGCUACCGCAGCUGUGGCCGCUGCUAGGCCACAGGGGGGUGAUUCAUUGCUGUUCCGAGAGUUCAGCAACACGAAGCCACCAGAGUUCGAUGGGACGCAGGAUCCGAUUGCUGCGAUGAGGUGGAUCGCAGAUAUAGAGGGGUGCUUCUACACUUGUUCAUGCCCGGAGCACCUGAGGGUACGGUUCGCUUUGAACCAGCUCCGUCUGGGAGCCAAGGACUGGUGGAAGUUCGUGACGGCGAACUUCACUUUAGCAGAGACUGCGGCAGUGACAUGGGAGGGGUUCACUACCAUGUUCAGGGAUGAGUACGUUCCCCCGGUGGAGCGGGAACGAUUGGUUCAGGAGUUCUUAACCCUCAAGCAGGGUACUGAUUCGGUGGCGGCGAUCACGCGGAAGUUCCAUGAGAGGGCGAUGUUUUGCCCCGAGCUGGUGGCCACAGAGCAGGCUCGGAUGAGCCGGUACUUGGGUGUUCUGAGGAGGGAGAUCCGGGAGUUUGUGUCAAACUCCACUUACCAUACUUUUACUGAGCUUCAGGCGAAUGCCAGGAAGCGUGAGAUCGAGUUAGAGACUCAGGCCAGGGAGGAGGCCGAGUCUCAGCAGGCAGACCGGCGACCGGCUCAGUCUCAGCCGGCAGCCAAGCGGAUCAAGUCCGCCGAUUCGAGGACGGGAGGUUCGAAGAACCGCACUUGCGUAAAGUGCGGUAAGGGUCACGAUGGGGCGUGUCGAGCCGGUGCUUGCUACAAGUGUGGCAAGGAGGGACACAUUGCUAGGGAGUGUCCCAAGGGAUUUAUGGUUUGCUUUCAUUGCAACCAGACCGGCCAUCGGAAGGCCGAGUGCCCUCAGCUUCGUCAGGGAUCUGCACCUGUUGCCAGGACUACUGAGACUCGACCGGUGAAGGUCGAGGCCCCGAGGGCUCGUGGGAGAGCCUUUCAGCUGACUGCGGAGGAGGUCCGCGCUGCGCCCGAUGUUGUGGCAGGUAUGUUGUAAUUCAUGUAAUUAUUUUAAUGUCGAUAUGUUAUGCUUAUGUUAUUAUGCGCGUAGGUACUUUCCUUGUGAACUCUGUGCCUGCCUUAGUGUUAUUUGACUCGGGUGCGAGUAGGUCCUUUGUGUCCUUGGCCUUUAGUCAGCAUAUUGGCGUUAGUCGUGAGUCGUUGAGUCGACCUUUGAGAGUCUCUAUAGCUGACGAGAAGGUGAUUUGUGCUACGGAGGUUCUUCGGGGAUGUGUACUAGAGAUUUUCGGGGUUGGAUUCCCGAUUGAUCUGAUUCCUAUCGCGAUGGGGGAUGUCUGUGUCAUCGUGGGCAUGGACUGGUUGAGCCGGUUCGGCGCUGUCAUCGACUGUGAGCGUCAGUUGGUGACUAUACGAGACCCUAGUGGGGGAGUUCUUUCGGUAUACGGCGAGGGUACCCGUUCGGGAUCAGCUUUUUGUUCGGCCGCUAGGGCGAGGCAGUGUCUACGACAGGGCUGUAAGGGUUUCGUGGCGUAUGUGAUGGAUACGCGGGAGGUUUCUGAGAAACCGAAGUCAGUUGAGGAAGUUCCGGUGGUGCGCGAGUUUUCAGAUGUCUUUCCCGAGGAGUUGCCGGGAGUACCGCCUGUGAGGCAAGUAGAGUUUAGUAUCGAUCUGGUUCCGGGGGCAGCGCCUAUUGCUAAAGUGCCCUAUCGUCUUGCACCUCCAGAGAUGCAAGAGUUGUCCUCGCAACUCCAGGAGUUGCUGGGAAAGGGAUUCAUUCGGCCGAGCAGCUCGCCAUGGGGAGCACCUAUUCUGUUCGUCAAGAAGAAGGAUGGUUCACACCGGAUGUGCAUUGAUUACCGGGAGUUGAACAAGCUAACGGUCAAGAACCGUUACCCGUUGCCGAGGAUCGAUGAUUUAUUCGAUCAGUUGCAGGGAGCAUCUUGGUUUUCCAAGAUCGAUCUGAGGUCAGGAUACCAUCAGGUGAGAGUACGGGAUGAAGACGUCCAGAAGACAGCGUUUAGGACGCGAUAUGGGCAUUAUGAGUUUGUGGUGAUGCCUUUUGGACUCACCAAUGCCCCGGCUGUGUUCAUGGAUCUCAUGAACAGGGUAUGCAGGCCGAUGUUGGAUCGGUCAGUGAUUGUAUUUAUCGACGACAUUCUGGUGUAUUCGAGAUCUAGAGAGCAGCAUGAGGAGCAUUUGAGGGAGGUCCUUGAGGUAUUGAGGUCGGAGAAGCUUUAUGCAAAGUUCUCCAAAUGUGACUUCUGGUUGCGGGAGGUCCAGUUUCUAGGACAUGUGGUUAAUCAGAAAGGGAUAUUGGUCGAUCCGGCCAAGGUUGAGGCGGUGAUGAGUUGGGAGGUGCCGAAGUCACCCUCUGAGAUCAGAAGUUUCCUUGGGUUGGCAGGGUAUUAUCGGAGAUUUAUCAAGGAUUUCUCCAAGAUCGCAGUGCCACUCACCAGAUUGACCCGGAAGGGUGUUACAUUCUCAUGGGGGCCCGAGCAGCAGACCUCCUUUGAGACACUUCGCCAGAGAUUGUGCGAAGCCCCGGUAUUAGCUCUCCCAGAAGGGAUGGAAGAUUUCGUGGUAUAUUGCGACGCAUCGAUUUCGGGAUUGGGUGCAGUGUUAAUGCAGAGGGGUCAUGUGAUAGCUUAUGCGUCGAGGCAGCUGAAGCCUCAUGAGGCGAGAUAUCCCACGCAUGAUUUAGAGUUGGGGGCAGUAGUGUUCGCUCUCAAGAUUUGGCGUCACUACUUGUAUGGGGUUCGAUGUACGAUAUACACGGACCAUAAGAGUUUGAAGUAUUUGAUGGAUCAACCCAACCUAAAUAUGCGUCAGAGGAGGUGGUUGGAUGUGGUCAAGGAUUAUGAUUGUGAGAUCCUGUACCACCCAGGCAAGGCUAAUGUGGUAGCCGAUGCAUUGAGCCGCAGGGCGGAGAGCACUCCAUUGCGAGACGUAUGCUUGAGACUGACUGUGAUGACUCCAGUAUUGGACGCUAUUCGUGGGGCCCAGGCAGAGGCUGUGCGACCAGAAAUGCAGAAGAAAGAGCGGGUUGUGGGGUUAAUCUCAGAGUUUGUCAAGGAUAGUCGAGGCCUUAUGACGUUUCAGGGUCGGAUUUGGGUACCGUUCGUGGGCGGUACGCGUAUUACGUUGAUGGAAGAGGCUCAUAGAUCGAAAUUCUCGAUCCAUCCCGGUGCUACAAAGAUGUAUUUGGAUUUAAGGAAGGAAUAUUGGUGGCCCUGUAUGAAGAGGGACGUGGCAUGGUUCGUUGAGAGGUGCUUGACCUGCCGUAGGGUUAAGGCUGAGCACCAGAGACCGCAUGGCAAGUUACAGCCAUUGGAGAUCCCCGAGUGGAAGUGGGAACAGAUUACUAUGGAUUUUAUCACCAAAUUGCCGAGGACUGCUAGGGGAGUUGACGCAAUUUGGGUGAUCGUGGAUAGGUUGACAAAGAGUGCACACUUCCUUGCCAUCAGUGAGAGUUCUUCGGCGGAGAAAUUGGCGGAGAUAUACGUGAGAGAGGUGGUAUCUCGGCACGGGGUGCCGAUCUCGAUUGUGUCAGACCGUGAUGUGCGCUUUACUUCCAGAUUCUGGAAGAAAUUCCAUGAGGAGCUGGGUACUAAAUUGCAUUUUAGUACCGCAUACCAUCCCCAGACAGACGGUCAGAGCGAGCGGACAAUUCAGACACUGGAGGACAUGCUCCGAGCGUGUGUGUUAGACUUCGGGGGUAGUUGGGAUGCGUAUUUACCAUUGGCAGAGUUCUCCUACAACAACAGCCAUCAUUCGAGCAUUGGUAUGCCACCUUUUGAGCUGUUGUAUGGUAGGAGGUGUCGGACCCCCAUUUGCUGGGGAGAGGUGGGACAGAGAGUGAUGGGCAGCACGGAGAUCGUGCUCCAGACGACAGAGCAGAUUCAGCAAGUGAGACAAAGGUUAUUGACUGCCCAGAGCCGACAGAAGAGUUAUGCAGACAGGCGCCGAUCCGAGCUUGAAUUUCAGGUCGGCGACUUCGUUCUCCUGAAGGUCUCUCCUUGGAAAGGAGUGAUUCGGUUCAGGAAGAGAGGCAAGUUGGGGCCCCGGUAUAUUGGGCCAUUUCGUGUGAUUGCAAGGAUAGGUCGGGUAGCCUAUCGGUUGGAGUUACCAGCGGAGUUGGGUCAGAUCCAUGACACUUUUCAUGUGUCGCAGUUGAGGAAGUGCAUAGCCGAUGAGUCGGCAGUGGUUCCAUUGGAGGAUAUUCAGGUGGAUGCGAGCCUGAAUUACGCGGAGAGACCAGUGGCUAUCAGGGAUCGGAAGAUCAAGGUUCUGAGGAACAAGGAAGUACCUCUGGUGUUGGUUCAAUGGCAACACCGUAAGGGAUCAGAAAUGACUUGGGAACCGGAGCGCGAAAUGCGGGAGCAGCAUCCGGAACUAUUUGCAGAGUGAGACUUCGAGGGCGAAGUCUAAUCCAAGUGGGGGAGAGUUGUAACAGCCCGGAAUCUCAGGUAUUAUUAAAAUUAUGUUUUUUGGGUGGUUUAAGAGGGGACUCGGCGAGUUGGAGCCUAGACUCGCCGAGUAGGAUCGCAGACUUGGUCGCGGGUCCGCGACUGGACUCGACGAGUCCAGAUAUGGACUCGGCGAGUCGACGCUGUUCAGCAGAAACCCUAACCGUUCAGUUUGAAUCGUAUAUAACGCCUCUUAGGCCGUCAUUUUCCGUCUUUUGAUCGAUUGAAAGGAACCCUAAUCGUUGUGGACGUCUAGGGCAGGAGAGAAAGCUAUUGGAACUUGGAGGAACUUGUUAGACAAGAAGAAGAAGAAAUU